CUGUUCCAGAACUGCAGCUUCAGAGGCUCUUUUAACAACAUAAGCAAAACUGGGAGCCAACCUCAUUUUUUCCCCCUGGCUGUAAUGAACACACAGCUUAGCUACAGCAGUCUCCCACCCCCAGUAAAAUGAACUGGAAUUACAAAGCUUAUGAAGAAAACAAGUGUCAUUUUUUUCCCUCUAUCUUUUUCCUUUCUUUUUAAUUGUUUUUUUUUUCUUUCUUUCCUAUUUCUUUCUCUUUUUUUGGAUCGAAAGUAAGACCAAAAAAUGUCAAAAGGGAAAGGAGAGGGGUUCUGAGAUCAGUCUCAAAUCUCAGAAGAAGACUGCGGGAAAUGGUGCCAAAUUGAAGUGUUUAUCCAUGGAAACUUGUCCCCUCAAGCUACUGAUGACACAUUCACUUUGCACCUUCACAGAGAGAGAAAGGGGAGAUCUGCCUUUUGAAGCAGAAAAAGCAACUGCUGCAAACCUGCAGUGUGUUUAAUGGAAGAGGACGUCUGGUUUCCAUGUAACGCUAAUAAAGUAUUCAGUACACUGGCAGGAGGAGCCUGGAAUGGAUGUGGGUGGUGAGGGUUGUGGGAAGCAGAGAGGAGACAGAGGGGUGUUAGAGGAUGGCCAGCUUGUGAUAGCAGGGAAAUCAAAGCCUUGUAAAGAGGAAAAUAUUUUAAAUGUUAUUUCAGUGUUUCAUCAAAAAAGAUUUUGCAAAGCUAUUUGUGACUGACUCUUUGGAGAUCUUGGUAUAAGGUUAUACUUAUACAUGUUUAAAGCAAUUCCAAGAUUUAUCCAUUUAGAAGAAAAAGUGUAAAACUUAAAAAAAAAAUGAAAAAGAAAAAAUGUAUUUUCUCCUUGUCUUCAUAAAAGAAGGCAGAAGAAAAAAAAAAACAAAAAACAGAGCAAGCAAAUAACCUUUUUUUUUUUUUUUUUCCUCCCUGAAAAUAACCCUAGAAACACCCAGCACAGCAUAAAAAAUCAUCAAAUGCUUUUGAACUAAAAGCCAUUCUUUUCUUGGGAAAACAUGUAUAGACAAAAAUACCCAAGCUGCCAAACUGAUAAAUACAAUUGACCUGCUGUGAUGUUAACUUAGAGCUCAUCGAUUUCAUUUCUGAUGUGCCACAGGAACAUUCAUUUGCACUGAGUGCUAGCUAAGACCUUUUCAUUAGUGCUGCAGCAGCUGGAUUGUAGAUUUGGUCAAUGCGGAUGGGUAUGGAAUGACUUGGGCUCUUCUACCCCAGCUUUUGUCUGGCCAGAUGUGAGCUUAUGACAAUAGGCUGUUCCUGUGAAAGGCCAGGCAUGGUAGCCCAGGUGCAGUGCUGGAGUAGAGCUGGGGUCAAGCUUUGUGUUAUGAUUGGAUACUGAAAAAAAAGAAAUAGGUAAUUUGAGUUAAACCUGGUUAUUUACUCAAAACAAGCUCUCAUAAAGCCAUUUUCGAGAUUGUAUCAGAGCAUCUUCCAGUAAUGAAUUAUUCAGUUUAAUCAAUUUUUCACUCUCUCCUGCAUGAUUAGGAAACUGGGAUCUGGGACACAAAAUUGAGAGUGAUCCAUGGAGCAUCUCUAACUUUGAUAAGACCAGCCCUACUGGGAAUUUUCUUCAUUUAAAAACUGGGAGAUAAAGGGAUUGAGGCCGAUGCUGCUGUAGCUGAAAAGGGCGUCUCAUUCCAUACAGUUCAUAGAGACGCUGAGUCCAUUCCAUCCAUUCCAUAUGUCCUACAUCUCUGUGCUGGCAGUGAGAUAGUGAGGUCUGGGAAUGGGGAAUACUGGGAAUACUACUCUUCUCUUCUCUUCUCUUCUCUUCUCUUCUCUUCUCUUCUCUUCUCUUCUCUUCUCUUCUCUUCUCUUCUCUUCUCUUCUCUUCUCUUCUCUUCUCUUCUCUUCUCUUCUCUUCUCUUCUCUUCUCUUCUCUUCUCUUCUCUUCUCUUCUCUUCUCUUCUCUUCUCUUCUCUUCUCUUCUCUUCUCUUCUCUUCUCUCUUCUUUUACUUUAUUUUCUUUCUCCUCCCCAGAUAAAAUUGUCUACCUGCAAAAUGAAUCAUCUGAAUUUAGGUUUUCCUUUAAAGUUUUAUGGGCUGCAUAUUUGCUCCCCAUCCUUUCUUUAAUUUUGCUAGUGAGGAGCCUGUCUGUACCAUGCAACUCACAACUGCCUGGGAGACCUGUGACAAGUAAAUUUCAGUCUCUCAGUAGAGCUGGUAUUCUUAGAGCUGCAGGAGCAGUCAUCAUGAAGGGGAAAGCUGUGAACGCCAAUAAAUUAUUGAAGAAAGCAGGAGAAAUAUUUCCUUCUGUUGACACAUUGGCAUUCACCUUUGGGAAUGUAAUCAUGGGAAAGGUAGGCAAUCUUUUGUCAUAGAGAUCUUUUGCUCGGAGAAUUCAGUCUUUUUAAAACCUUAGGAGGGAGCCUGCAAGCCCUCAACAUGGAAGGGGUAUUCAAGUUAUAGGAUGUCUUCAGGCAGACAAGUUUCUCAGAAAUGACAGUGAAACUGAAUUAAGUCUGCAACACAUUAAAAUUACUUGGUGAUAAAAAGGGAGGUUAGUGAGGUAGAGAGUAAACCCCUCCAGCUCCCUGACACCCCGGGACAGUUUCCAAUCAGGAGGGGGAUUGUUUUCUACGAACAAAACAAGACAGCAUUAGUACAAGACAGAGCAUAAACAUGGCAAAAUUUAGAGUUCAGAGAAGAACAGAAGAUGGAAGCCAACCUCUUGGUGUAAGGCAGAGGAAACAGCAAGGACAUGCCUACAAGAUCAACAUUUCCUUUUGGGUUGUGACAUGGGGGAAGGACUGGGGCAGUUCUUGAGAGCUGGGGUGGUGCAGGAGUGGUUUCUUCUAGCCUGAAAAUCUGAUUCUACCUCUUUCUUCCAUCACUGAAACAAAGGAACCUACCCAGGCCUGUGAACAUAGAUUUGUCUGUCUGAAUUUCAAAUUUUGCUUGGAAAGCCAUCAAAUUAGCACUGAUGUUUUAUUCCAACAUCAGAAACGGCAGGGAAAAAUACCCAGGAGCUCGUUGGAUUUAAAUCCACAGAAUCAUCUCCAGUUUUGUUUAGACGAGAUGAGUGAAUAACCCCCCUUCUCAGCAUCAUAUUUGGCUCAAAUCACCAAUUUACUGGUUUACAAAAAUCUAAAACUGCCCCUCCGGCAAAUUAAGGGAUUACGUCAAUCACUCAAGUCCAUUCUACCUGACAACAGCACGCAGCAACAGGGCAAAAGGUUUGAUGCUCUGCUGGAAUGUGAUAAGGAGAAAAUGCCAAAUGACACAUAGGCAAAGUUAUUACCAGCGAGAUGAAGACAAACUGGAGGGAGUUCAGAGAAGUGCAACAAAAAUGAUUAGAGAGCUGGAGGGGUUGAUUUAGAAGGAAAGUUUACAAGAACAACUGGCAAUAUGCACAGCAGGGCUGAGCAACAUCUGAGGGGGGAGAGAGAGCCAGUUGCAAACAUCUGAACAGUGCAAACACCCAGGGAGGAACACAAUUACCCAAGGGGGAAAUAACUAAGAUAAUAGGUUGAAAUUAGGAGAAAGAGAUAAACAUCAAAAUAACUUCUCAGUGAAAAGACUGUGGAAUAACCUACUAUGGGAAGACAUGGAAGUCCAAGCCAAGCAGGCUAUAAAUUCCUUCCCACAGCCCCUGCAGAUACAAAAGUCAGCCACAGAUAACUUUGAAAACAAUUUCUAAGCAACAAAUGUCAGAACUUCUGCAAGAAACCAGGUGUGAGAAGGUGUUUAGAACUGAUGAUUUCCAGAUAACUCUACUAGUUUUCUUGCUGUUCAAAUGCACAAUGGGGAGGAGUUUGAAAAGGCUCUUGCUUUCUGUUUCCUGGGUGAAAUGACUGCACUGGAAACCUCCAAAAGUGCAGUUGUGGCAAUCAAGACAUUGCCCACUCAUCGACAAAUAGUUUUCCAGUUGAGAUAGUUGGUUUAAAUCUCCCUCAGGUUUGGAGUGACUGGAAAUCAACACCAGAUAAUGGCUGUUUGGUAGUAGAUGUGACAUGAGUUAAUGCACUCACUUGAAUUUCUAGUGGAUAUUGGACAUGUGCUCACAUUACAAAUGCUUUGAACAGCAUGAUCAGCAUUAAAUUAACAUCUACACUGACAAUCUUGCCAAAGAAAUCCAGAAGGAGAUGGACAUUAGUAAUGAACUGCACGUUCACCUUUGGAGUGAAGUCAUUAGCAAGGUAAACUUUACCUCAUGGGCUCUGAACCUCGUCUCCUCUACUGUAUUUCCUAACUCCUGGAUGGGAUGUCAAUUUGCAAAGCAGAUUAUUUAGCAUAUUUCCUCAGCAUACAAGAAACUGCUACCAUUAAAGAAAAUUUACAUUACAGAACGGUUGUUUAUUAGACAUUAUCAUUAAUUAAUAAGUAUUUUUAGCUGCUUCUUGACAAGGAAGGUGCAUGGCAUGCAUGUGACACAAUUCAUCUGGUUUUAUAGAAGGUAGUAAUAGCUGCAAUGAGUAUAGAAGUAGCACAGGACUCUCUUGCAGAGUGGUAUUUGAAGGUCUGGCUAAGCAAAGCCACUUAGGCCAUUUCUAGUUUAUUGUUGUUACACUUUGGUAUGGCUUUCUAGUAAUUUAUAGGGGUGUUUGUUGAGUUCAUGAGCUCUUGAGACCUGCAUCCAAUAAAAUAGUGAUGUACUUUCUCUUGACUGAAGGCAGAAGCAUAUAUCAUUGCAUGCAGUGGGUCUGAUAUCAUUUUAUGCUGGAUGGGGAAAAAGGCUGUGAAGCUCUGUAGCUUAGUAAAAGAAAAGGAAAAGUAAAGAAAAAUGGCAAUAAAGGACAUCACUUUGUGCAGGGCACUAUUUUGUUUCUAGAUUCUUUAGCUUCAUACAUUAGCAAGCCGGGAAUUUGGUGGGUUAAUCCUACCCUUGACUGUAAGAUCCCAUAUUAGUUAACGAUCUCUUUCUGAACUUGAUAUAAAGCCACAUAAGUUAAUGAGCAGCUAUUAGACAAAUCAUUAUUUAUAUACUUAUAUAUAUUCCCAUAAUUUUUCAUCUGUAUUUUAACUUUGCCAUGACAUAGGGUGCUAAUCCUUCAUGCUCUUGCAGUGUUAACAACAAUAUCUUUUCCCAUUUAAUUAAUAUUUUUAAAAGUUGCCUCAUCCUCCACCAUUAACAUCUUCCCCUCUAUCAAACAAUAAGUGAUAUGGAUCAGUCUUAGUCGAUUAGCUGUAAAGAAGAGGAAAAAUCACUAAGGCAGCAAGGCUUAUUCUUAAAGUAACUUCUCUCUUUCCACCUACUUGUCUAUUCUUAGACUACUGUAAACAUAAAAUGGUCAGGCAGCACAUAGAACAGUCCUAUCAUGUAGGAAAAAAAAAAAAAAUUGGUUCCUAGUGUGACUGUGCACCUUUGCAUAAAAUAAAUAAAUAAAAAUCUCUGUCAUGGAAAAGACAAAGGUAGCAUUGCUUUUACUGGUUUUCUCAGAAAUCUAACUUCCCUUCCCUUCCCUUCCCUUCCCUUCCCUUCCCUUCCCUUCCCUUCCCUUCCCUUCCCUUCCCUUCCC
ensembl:lncRNA